ensembl:lncRNA
GAGGACAAAUGUGGUACAAACCCCCAAAUUUUUGUCAGUCCUUCAAUCUGCUUGCACCAAAGGCUGGCAAAUCUUAAGGUUUCUAAGAACUCUUAAGGGCAUUAAUAUCAAGCUGUUUUGAAGUGUAACGAUAUUUCAGUAGUUGAUUUUUAAGGCAGAUCUUCUGACUGCAUGAUAUAACUUGUUCUUACUGUUUCUGUAAUAUUUGUUGAUAUUUUUGCCACGUAAUAACCUACUUUAUUAUGAGUAUGUGUCCACAGCAGAUGAGCAGAAUUGCUGAAACUUGGUUUGACGUUGUGCUCCAGACAGUUAUUACUCUAAAGGAAAUAACAAGUUGUUAUGUCUUGAGAACAAGAGAAAAUACAGGAUUGUGAACAAAGUGAGGAACUCUUACUGGACAAAAACUAGAGGGAGCUGCUACACAACUUCUCAUUGCUCAAGAGGUAUGUUUGCACUCCUGAGAAUGCUCCUGCCAAUGUCACUGAAGGCCAUAUAAGCCUGCAAACAAAAAAACCUCAACUGUAUCGAGUCCUGCCCUAGUAAAGGGUAAAAAUACCACCAGACAGCAGUAAGGUAAUCCAUAGGGAAUGACUUUAAAAUUUUUAAGAGGUUACUAAGUUUGAACAUAAUUAUUUAAAAUGUCAAAGAUUCAGUUGUAGUUUGCAGCUCUAAGUAAUUUCAAAAGAUGCACUUAUGUGCUUUUAAUAUGGAGCUUUCCUUGCUAUAGGUCAAAAAUUUGUACAGAUUAAAUGCUUUCUAAUUCUUUCACAGCAGGUUAAAACUCAUCUGAAUAAGUGGCACAAAGAUUGUUUUCCUGUUCUUUAAUAUAACAAGUAAGAAGUUGAUCACUUAUAAGUGCAUGUUGUGGGAUACUCUUAAUCUCUUGCUGAGUGUGUGCCUUCUCUGUAUUGUAUUUGAUUCUCAAUUGUUUUAAUGCUCAGCACUUCAUUUGCUUUAAGUUCAGAAAUUGCAGUCUUGUGAGAGGGAGAAUGUGCCACAUGUGUGCUUUUCUUUGUCUAGAAAUUAAGAAUGCUGGUAAGACAUUCAGUGGGCCAUUCAGUGGGACAAAGUAAGACAUUCAGUGGAAUUGAAGCACAGUCCUUUGGACAGCAAGAUGUCCCCAAGCACCACUUGAGUUCUUGUUGCCUAGUGAGCUUGUGGCUACUGCUUCUGCUGUCGUGGAACCCUUCUUGUCUCUAUAACAGUUUUUCUGUUCUCAGCCUCACACUGUAACUGCAUUGCAUUGUGAUCAGAG